rnacentral:rRNA from 1 species
GACAGUCAGAGCGGACAGAAGGGAGCUUGCUCCCGGAUGUUAGCGGCGGACGGGUGAGUAACACGUGGGUAACCUGCCUGUAAGACUGGGAUAACUCCGGGAAACCGGAGCUAAUACCGGAUAGUUCCUUGAACCGCAUGGUUCAAGGAUGAAAGACGGUUUCGGCUGUCACUUACAGAUGGACCCGCGGCGCAUUAGCUAGUUGGUGGGGUAAUGGCUCACCAAGGCGACGAUGCGUAGCCGACCUGAGAGGGUGAUCGGCCACACUGGGACUGAGACACGGCCCAGACUCCUACGGGAGGCAGCAGUAGGGAAUCUUCCGCAAUGGACGAAAGUCUGACGGAGCAACGCCGCGUGAGUGAUGAAGGUUUUCGGAUCGUAAAGCUCUGUUGUUAGGGAAGAACAAGUGCGAGAGUAACUGCUCGCACCUUGACGGUACCUAACCAGAAAGCCACGGCUAACUACGUGCCAGCAGCCGCGGUAAUACGUAGGUGGCAAGCGUUGUCCGGAAUUAUUGGGCGUAAAGGGCUCGCAGGCGGUUUCUUAAGUCUGAUGUGAAAGCCCCCGGCUCAACCGGGGAGGGUCAUUGGAAACUGGGAAACUUGAGUGCAGAAGAGGAGAGUGGAAUUCCACGUGUAGCGGUGAAAUGCGUAGAGAUGUGGAGGAACACCAGUGGCGAAAGCGACUCUCUGGUCUGUAACUGACGCUGAGGAGCGAAAGCGUGGGGAGCGAACAGGAUU